GCUCUAGUAACGGCGAGUGAAGCAGCAAUAGCUCAAAUUUGAAAUCUGGCGUCUUCGACGUCCGAGUUGUAAUUUGUAGAGGAUGCUUCUGAGUAACCACCGACCUAAGUUCCUUGGAACAGGACGUCAUAGAGGGUGAGAAUCCCGUAUGCGGUCGGAAAGGUGCUCUAUACGUAGCUCCUUCGACGAGUCGAGUUGUUUGGGAAUGCAGCUCUAAAUGGGAGGUAAAUUUCUUCUAAAGCUAAAUAUUGGCCAGAGACCGAUGGCGCACAAGUAGAGUGAUCGAAAGAUGAAAAGCACUUUGGAAAGAGAGUUAAAAAGCACGUGAAAUUGUUAAAAGGGAAGGGAUUGCAACCAGACUUGCUCGCGGUGUUCCGCCGGUCUUCUGACCGGUCUACUCGCCGCGUUGCAGGCCAGCAUCGUCUGGUGCCGCUGGAUAAGACUUGAGGAAUGUAGCUCCCUCGGGAGUGUUUUAGCCUCUUGGAUGCAGCGAGCGCCGGGCGAGGUCCGCGCUUCGGCUAGGAUGCUGGCGUAAUGGUCGUAAUCCGCCCGUCUUGAAACACGGACCAAGGAGUCUAACAUCUAUGCGAGUGUUCGGGUGUCAAACCCCUACGCGUAAUGAAAGUGAACGGAGGUGAGAACCGCAGGUGCAUCAUCGACCGAUCCUGAUGUCUUCGGAUGGAUUUGAGUAAGAGCAUAGCUGUUGGGACCCGAAAGAUGGUGAACUAUGCCUGAAUAGGGUGAAGCCAGAGGAAACUCUGGUGGAGGCUCGCAGCGGUUCUGACGUGCAAAUCGAUCGUCAAAUUUGGGUAUAGGGGCGAAAGACUAAUCGAACCAUCUAGUAGCUGGUUCCUGCCGAAG
rnacentral:rRNA from 1 species